GGGUGAGCAGUUUGUGGUUGCUCUCUUUCAGCUCUGGAGGUUGCCUUUGACCCUGUGGUGGUACAAAUGCAAUAAUUGAGCAUUGUGGGUUUUUAUCUCAGCAAAUAACAUGAUGAGCUUUCUUCAUCAUCCUUCAAAGAGGCACUAGGACUUCAUCUCUUUAAAUUUGAUGAAAACAACAUGAAGAAGAAGGAUGGCAUUGAAGGAACAAGGAGUGCACGCUUAAGCAGGGUGUGAAACAAGGACAAGGAAGGCAGCUGCAGAGAGACAGACAGCUUUUGCCACCCAUUGCAGAGCAGGCAAUGCCAUGGGAUACAGUAUAUGCCCAGAAGGAAACACAGGAGGAGAAAUUCUACAUACUGGAACAGCAAGGACAGUGGGCAAAUUGUGGAAAUGCUUCGCUCCUAGAAGGUUGCUGAGGUUAUAUUUACCUGGUCAAGCAUGAGAACAUCUGGGGCCUGGAGCAGUGCAGGUUAGCCCUGAAAACCAAGGACCUCUACUGGUAUUUUGCUCUUGGUACACCACAUACAUGCAGAAACUCUAAACAACAAACACUCCAAUCCUAAAUAAGAAAAAUGCAAACAAAAAAACCAAACAACCCACCAACCAACAAACCCAAACACUACCCAAAAAAACUCCAAAAACACCCAAACUGAAAAACCUACCACCAAUUAAUCAAAAAACCCCAAAACAAACAAAAAAACCAAAAAAAACCCACCAAAGAUACCAGAAAAACUUGCUUUGUAAGGUGGAAUUACUUUUUCUAGCUAACAAUUGAUCUAUUUGCUGAUUCUGACCAGGUUAAAGACUAAAUAAAACAAGUAAUUUUAAGGCCUUUUAUGCCAAUAAGGUGAAGCAAUCACUGCUGCUGUCUUUGGUUAUGUCUCUUUGCAAGUCAAUCAAUGAUUUUUUUUUUCAUUUUUUUAGUCUGAGUUGAAUUUCAUCUGUGUGGUGGAAUUUUCAGUAUCUCACUGGCCAUGGUAUUGUAGUUGAUGAAUAAAUG